UUCGCCCUUAGAGUUUGAUCCUGGCUCAGGACGAACGCUGGCGGCAUGCCUAACACAUGCAAGUCGAACGGACGAGGUCUCUUCGGAGGCCGAGUUAGUGGCGGACUGGUGAGUAACGCGUGAGCAACCUGCCUUCAAGAGGGGGACAACAGUUGGAAACGACUGCUAAUACCGCAUGACGCAGCGGGGUCGCAUGACCUUGCUGCCAAAGAUUUAUCGCUUGAAGAUGGGCUCGCGUCCGAUUAGAUAGUUGGUGAGGUAACGGCUCACCAAGUCAACGAUCGGUAGCCGGACUGAGAGGUCGAACGGCCACAUUGGGACUGAGAUACGGCCCAGACUCCUACGGGAGGCAGCAGUGGGGAAUAUUGCGCAAUGGAGGGAACUCUGACGCAGCAAUGCCGCGUGAAGGAUGAAGGUUUUCGGAUUGUAAACUUCUUUUAUGAGGGACGAAGCAAGUGACGGUACCUCAUGAAUAAGCCACGGCUAACUACGUGCCAGCAGCCGCGGUAAUACGUAGGUGGCAAGCGUUAUCCGGAUUUACUGGGUGUAAAGGGUGUGUAGGCGGAGAUGUAAGUCAGAUGUGAAAUUCACGGGCUCAACCUGUGAACUGCGUCUGAAACUGCGUCCCUUGAGUGUCGGAGGGGUAAAUAGAAUUCCCGGUGUAGCGGUGAAAUGCGUAGAUAUCGGGAGGAAUACCGGUGGCGAAGGCGAUUUACUGGACGACAACUGACGCUGAGACACGAAAGUGUGGGGAGCAAACAGGAUUAGAUACCCUGGUAGUCCACACUGUAAACGAUGAAUGCUAGGUGUGGGGGAGCAAUCCUCCGUGCCGGAGUUAACACAAUAAGCAUUCCACCUGGGGAGUACGGCCGCAAGGUUGAAACUCAAAGGAAUUGACGGGAGCCCGCACAAGCAGUGGAGUAUGUGGUUUAAUUCGACGCAACGCGAAGAACCUUACCAGGAUUUGACAUCCCAGGAAUCCGGCGUAAUGGCUGGAGUGCCCUUCGGGGAAUCUGGAGACAGGUGGUGCAUGGUUGUCGUCAGCUCGUGUCGUGAGAUGUUGGGUUAAGUCCCGCAACGAGCGCAACCCUUACUGUCAGUUGCUACGCAAGAGCACUCUGACGGGACUGCCGUUGACAAAACGGAGGAAGGUGGGGAUGACGUCAAAUCAUCAUGCCCCUUACGUUCUGGGCUACACACGUACUACAAUGGCGAAAACAAAGGGGAGCGAAGCCGCGAGGUGGAGCAAAUCCCAUAAAAAUCGUCCCAGUUCGGAUCGCAGGCUGCAACCCGCCUGCGUGAAGUUGGAAUUGCUAGUAAUCGCGGAUCAGCAUGCCGCGGUGAAUACGUUCCCGGGCUUUGCACACACCGCCCGUCA
rnacentral:rRNA from 1 species